rnacentral:rRNA from 1 species
GACGAACGCUGGCGGCGUGCCUAAUACAUGCAAGUCGAACGGUUUAGUUCCAAGAGGCUUGCCUUUUGGAACUAGACAGUGGCGGACGGGUGAGUAACACGAAGGCAACCUACCUGUCAAACCGGGAUAACCACGGGAAACCGAAGCUAAACCCGGAUAAGCUCCUUUUUCGUAUGAAGGGGGAGUGAAAAGGUGCGACCCGAUGACAGAUGGGCCUGCGGCGCAUUAGCUUGUAGGUAGGGUAACGGCCUACCUAGGAGAUGAUGCGUAGCCGACCUGAGGGGGCGUACGGCCACACUGGGACUGAGGUACGGCCCAGACUCCUACGGGAGGCAGCAGUAGGGUAUCUUCGGCGAGGGGCGAAAGCCUGACCGAGCAACGCCGCGUGAGUGAGGCAGGCCUUCGGGUUGUAAAACUCUGUUGUUUGGGAAGAAGGGAAAGGGCAGGACCCUUAGGUGACGGUACCAAACGAGAAAGCCCCGGCUAACUACGUG